AAAAAAUUUUUAUAGUUUAAAAAAUUUAUUAUAAAUUUAUUUUACAUAUAAAUUUUAGUAAAAAAUUUUAAUUAUUUUAAUAAUAAUUAUAUUAAUUUUGUAGUAAUUAAUUUUAAAUAAUUUAAGAAAUUAAGAUUUAGUAAUAUAAAAAUUAAAAACUGAUUUUGUGCCAGCAGUUGCGGUUAAACAAAAUUUAAAAUAAAUUUUAUUAGUAAAUUAAUUAAUAUUUAAGAUUUAUUUAAUUAAAUAUUAAAUUAUUAGGUGAAAUUUUAAUUUAAUAAAAAAUAAAUUAAAUGAAAUUAAUAAAUUAUAAUAAAAACUAGGAUUAGAUACCCUAUUAUUAAUAAAUUAAAAUUUAAUACUAAAAUAGUAAUUAAUUAUUUAUUGAAAUUUAAAUAAUUUGGCGGUAUUUUAGUUCAUUUAGAGGAAUCUGUUUAAUAAUUGAUAAUCCACGAAUAAAUUUACUUAAUUUACAAUUUUGUAUAUCAUUGUUAAAAAAAUAUUUUUAAUAAAAAAUAAUAUUUAAAAAUUUUAAAUAAAAAUUAAAUCAGAUCAAGAUGCAGAUUAUAAUUAAGAAUAUAAUGGAUUACAAUAAAUUUAUUUAAAUGAAUAUUAAUUUGUAAAAAUUAAUUGAAGGUGGAUUUAAAUGUAAUUUUAAUUAAUUUAUUAAAAUGAUUAAAAAUUAAAAUAUGUACAUAUUGCCCGUCGCUUUCAUAAAUAAAUUGAAAUAAGUCGUAACAAAGUAGAGGUACUGGAAAGUGUUUCUAGAAAGAU